UACCAGCACCCCGAGUGGUCGGGACGUUUUAUUGGGCCUAAAAGCAUCCGUAGCCGGUUCUACAAGUCUUCCGUUAAAUCCACCUGCUCAACAGAUGGGCUGCGGAAGAUACUAUGGAGCUAGGAGGCGGGAGAGGCAAGCGGUACUCGAUGGGUAGGGGUAAAAUCCGUUGAUCCAUUGAAGACCACCAGUGGCGAAGGCGGCUUGCCAGAACGCGCUCGACGGUGAGGGAUGAAAGCUGGGGGGAGCAAACCGG
rnacentral:rRNA from 1 species